rnacentral:rRNA from 1 species
GGCUCAGGAUGAACGCUGGCGGCGUGCCUAAUACAUGCAAGUCGAGCGAACGGACGAGAAGCUUGCUUCUCUGAUGUUAGCGGCGGACGGGUGAGUAACACGUGGAUAACCUACCUAUAAGACUGGGAUAACUUCGGGAAACCGGAGCUAAUACCGGAUAAUAUUUUGAACCGCAUGGUUCAAAAGUGAAAGACGGUCUUGCUGUCACUUAUAGAUGGAUCCGCGCUGCAUUAGCUAGUUGGUAAGGUAACGGCUUACCAAGGCAACGAUGCAUAGCCGACCUGAGAGGGUGAUCGGCCACACUGGAACUGAGACACGGUCCAGACUCCUACGGGAGGCAGCAGUAGGGAAUCUUCCGCAAUGGGCGAAAGCCUGACGGAGCAACGCCGCGUGAGUGAUGAAGGUCUUCGGAUCGUAAAACUCUGUUAUUAGGGAAGAACAUAUGUGUAAGUAACUGUGCACAUCUUGACGGUACCUAAUCAGAAAGCCACGGCUAACUACGUGCCAGCAGCCGCGGUAAUACGUAGGUGGCAAGCGUUAUCCGGAAUUAUUGGGCGUAAAGCGCGCGUAGGCGGUUUUUUAAGUCUGAUGUGAAAGCCCACGGCUCAACCGUGGAGGGUCAUUGGAAACUGGAAAACUUGAGUGCAGAAGAGGAAAGUGGAAUUCCAUGUGUAGCGGUGAAAUGCGCAGAGAUAUGGAGGAACACCAGUGGCGAAGGCGACUUUCUGGUCUGUAACUGACGCUGAUGUGCGAAAGCGUGGGGAUCAAACAGGAUUAGAUACCCUGGUAGUCCACGCCGUAAACGAUGAGUGCUAAGUGUUAGGGGGUUUCCGCCCCUUAGUGCUGCAGCUAACGCAUUAAGCACUCCGCCUGGGGAGUACGACCGCAAGGUUGAAACUCAAAGGAAUUGACGGGGACCCGCACAAGCGGUGGAGCAUGUGUUUUAAUUCGAAGCAACGCGAAGAACCUUACCAAAUCUUGACAUCCUUUGACAACUCUAGAGAUAGAGCCUUCCCCUUCGGGGGACAAAGUGACAGGUGGUGCAUGGUUGUCGUCAGCUCGUGUCGUGAGAUGUUGGGUUAAGUCCCGCAACGAGCGCAACCCUUAAGCUUAGUUGCCAUCAUUAAGUUGGGCACUCUAAGUUGACUGCCGGUGACAAACCGGAGGAAGGUGGGGAUGACGUCAAAUCAUCAUGCCCCUUAUGAUUUGGGCUACACACGUGCUACAAUGGACAAUACAANNGGCAGCGAAACCGCGAGGUCAAGCAAAUCCCAUAAAGUU